GACGAACGCUGGCGGCGUGCUUAACACAUGCAAGUCGAACGGGCCCGCUCUCUUUUUUGGGGGUGGGUUGAGUGGCGAACGGGUGAGUAUCACGUGAGUAACCUGCCCCCUGCUCCUGGAUAACUGCUUGAAAGGGCGGCUAAUACGGGGUGUGCCGGCUGGUCCGCAUGGGCCUGGUCGGGAUAGUUUCAUCUUCGGGUGUUUCGGUGGGGGAUGGGCUCGCGGCCUAUCAGCUUGUUGGUGGGGUGAUGGCCCACCAAGGCGGUGACGGGUAGCCGGCCUGAGAGGGUGGGCGGCCACACUGGGACUGAGACACGGCCCAGACUCCUGCGGGAGGCAGCAGUGGGGGGUAUUGCAUAAUGGGCGGAAGCCUGAUGCAGCGACGUCGCGUGAGGGAUGGAGGCCUUCGGGUUGUGAACCUCUUUCUCCGGUGGUGAAGGCCCUGUCCGUUGCGGCGGGGUUGACGGUAGCCGGGUAUGAAGCGCCGGCUAACUACGUG
rnacentral:rRNA from 1 species